rnacentral:rRNA from 1 species
GAUGAACGCUGGCGGCGUGCCUAAUACAUGCAAGUCGAGCGAACAGACGAGGAGCUUGCUCCUCUGACGUUAGCGGCGGACGGGUGAGUAACACGUGGAUAACCUACCUAUAAGACUGGGAUAACUUCGGGAAACCGGAGCUAAUACCGGAUAAUAUAUUGAACCGCAUGGUUCAAUAGUGAAAGACGGUUUUGCUGUCACUUAUAGAUGGAUCCGCGCCGCAUUAGCUAGUUGGUAAGGUAACGGCUUACCAAGGCAACGAUGCGUAGCCGACCUGAGAGAGUGAUCGGCCACACUGGAACUGAGACACGGUCCAGACUCCUACGGGAGGCAGCAGUAGGGAAUCUUCCGCAAAGGGCGAAAGCCUGACGGAGCAACGCCGCGUGAGUGAUGAAGGUCUUCGGAUCGUAAAACUCUGUUAUUAGGGAAGAACAAAUGUGUAAGUAACUAUGCACGUCUUGACGGUACCUAAUCAGAAAGCCACGGCUAACUACGUG